rnacentral:lncRNA from 1 species
ACACUUAGGAUUAUGACCAAGUUCACGUACUUAAAAGGGAGAAACCACAGAGACAUCACACUGAAAGUUUCUCUGCUUUGGGCCAGCAGGAAAUUCCAGUUGCUUCAUUCACCGGAGCCAGUUAAGCUGCUGAAAUGAAAUGGAUCACCGGAGAGAUCACUAUAUCAGGACAUAGACUUGACUUUCAGGGUUGGAGGAAGCCGGACAAAGAUGAAUGGGAUUCAGAGCCUGAACUCAAGGUCAACGUCUUCUGAAUCACAAAGAGCUGGUGGGUCAGUCUGGGAGAAGAAAGAAAAUUCUGCGCCAAAUGGGAAAACCCUUAAAGUCUGCAUAGUUUUGCUUGUCGGUAAGAACACAGGUAGGCGGCGGGAAGAGAGGUGGCAAGCAGCCCCAACGCUCGCCGAGAUCCCCAGGGUUUUACAAACGGAUCGUCCUGAAGUCUCCAAAACUGUAACUACUAUAUGCCCAAAUUUAUAUUCUCCCCUGGCUUUUCCAACAGGCUACCUGCCUGUGACAGUUUUCCCACGAACUUGGCUCUCCUCUGUCUACAGCGCCCCGGGGUCUCCCAAACAGACAGACACAGACAGACAGAAGGAGCAGACAAGGGGACUGUCCAAUUCCCACCCUCCGCGCCCACUCUCUCGAGGGUUGUUAUGAGGCUCAAAGGAACGGCUGCUGUGAAAAAACAUGCUUUGCAAUUUAUGAAGCACUGGAUAAACAUCAGGAACGGUAUAAAAGCAUGCUGCUUACUCAAGAAAUACUAGUUGAGUGCCUGUGUGUUGGGCACUGGCUAGAGAUAAGGGUCUCCUAUGGACAGAAGUGCGGGCAAGGAGCUUUGUUCCUCCCCGAUGUCACCCUCCCACAGCCCACUUGCUAGCAGGCAAGAGAGGGGUGGAGGCCGGCAGUAAGGCAUGUACUGAACUGGACCUCUGGUGGAAUGGGUCACCCACGCUGGGCUUGGUGGGUAUUUGAAAGUGACUCUUUCGUGAACACUGUUGUGAGCCCUCACUGGGAAUGUCUGGCCAUGCUUCCUGACGCUGGCAAUGAAUUUUCUCUAGCUGCUUAUUCUACCCCAACCUUGGUCUUCCUUCUGUCCCCUCCAUGCAGACUCUUACCAUCAGGGUCCUGCCAACCCUUCAGUGAGACUUUUUCCGAAGAAUCCCUUUU